rnacentral:rRNA from 1 species
GACGAACCAUGCAAACGUUAUUCGGAAUUACUGGGCGUAAAGCGUGCGUAGACGGUCAUGUAAGUCGGGUGUGAAAGCCCCGGGCUCAACCUGGGAAUUGCAUUCGAGACUGCAUAGCUAGGGUGCGGAAGAGGGAAGCGGAAUUUCCGGUGUAGCGGUGAAAUGCGUAGAUAUCGGAAGGAACAUCAGUGGCGAAAGCGGCUUCCUGGUCCAGCACCGGACGU